rnacentral:lncRNA from 1 species
UUCAGUGGAGCCUCCAGCUUCUGAACUAGAUGAAAAACACAGUCCUGUGGAUCACCAAGUCCAGAUUUGGACAAAGAAAAACUAGUUCAGGGCUGAGACUGAGAGCUGAUACAUUUCAAGGAGGACCGGCCGGCUGCACUUG